rnacentral:tRNA from 1 species
GGCCUGGUAGCCAAGUGGGAAGGCAGGGGACUGCAAAUCCCCUAUUCGUGGGUUCGAUUCCCACCCAGGCCUCCA